rnacentral:rRNA from 1 species
UACGUAGGGUGCUAGCGUUGUUCGGAAUCAUUGGGCGUAAAGCGCGUGUAGGCGGUUAGUUAAGUCGGGUGUGAAAUCCCUGGGCUCAACCGAGGAAGUGCAUCCGAAACUAACUAGCUAGAGAAUGGUAGAGGAAGGUGGAAUUCCGUGUGUAGAGGUGAAAUUCGUAGAUAUACGGAGGAACACCGGUGGCGAAGGCGGGUCUCUGGGCCGAUACUGACACUGAGAAGCGAAAGCGUGGGGAGCGAACAGG